rnacentral:rRNA from 1 species
UACGAAGGGGGCUAGCGUUGCUCGGAAUCACUGGGCGUAAAGGGUGCGUAGGCGGGUCUUUUAAGUCAGGGGUGAAAUCCUGGAGCUCAACUCCAGAACUGCCUUUGAUACUGAGGAUCUUGAGUACGGGAGAGGUGAGUGGAACUGCGAGUGUAGAGGUGAAAUUCGUAGAUAUUCGCAAGAACACCAGUGGCGAAGGCGGCUCACUGGCCCGUUACUGACGCUGAGGCACGAAAGCGUGGGUAGCAAACAGG